UCAACCAUCAAGCCUGGCUUGUCGUUGGACUCGUGGUCGUCAUGACCGGUCCGAAAGAUAACGGACGGCGGUGAUUAGCCCCCGAUGCAACGAGCUUUUAUAGCACGCAUUGAAGGGUUGGCUACCCCAGCCUCACACUCCAUUUUCUCA
rnacentral:misc_RNA from 1 species